GAUGAACGCUGGCGGCGUGCCUAAUACAUGCAAGUCGAGCGAACGGACGAGAAGCUUGCUUCUCUGAUGUUAGCGGCGGACGGGUGAGUAACACGUGGAUAACCUACUUAUAAGACUGGGAUAACUUCGGGAACCCGGAGCUAAUACCGGAUAAUAUUUUGAACCGCAUGGUUCAAAAGUGAAAGACGGUCUUGCUGUCACUUAUAGAUGGAUCCGCGCUGCAUUAGCUAGUUGGUAAGGUAACGGCUUACCAAGGCAACGAUGCAUAGCCGACCUGAGAGGGUGAUCGGCCACACUGGAACUGAGACACGGUCCAGACUCCUACGGGAGGCAGCAGUAGGGAAUCUUCCGCAAUGGGCGAAAGCCUGACGGAGCAACGCCGCGUGAGUGAUGAAGGUCUUCGGAUCGUAAAACUCUGUUAUUAGGGAAGAACAUAUGUGUAAGUAACUGUGCACAUCUUGACGGUACCUAAUCAGAAAGCCACGGCUAACUACGUGCCAGCAGCCGCGGUAAUACGUAGGUGGCAAGCGUUAUCCGGAAUUAUUGGGCGUAAAGCGCGCGUAGGCGGUUUUUUAAGUCUGAUGUGAAAGCCCACGGCUCAACCGUGGAGGGUCAUUGGAAACUGGAAAACUUGAGUGCAGAAGAGGAAAGUGGAAUUCCAUGUGUAGCGGUGAAAUGCGCAGAGAUAUGGAGGAACACCAGUGGCGAAGGCGACUUUCUGGUCUGUAACUGACGCUGAUGUGCGAAAGCGUGGGGAUCAAACAGGAUUAGAUACCCUGGUAGUCCACGCCGUAAACGAUGAGUGCUAAGUGUUAGGGGGUUUCCGCCCCUUAGUGCUGCAGCUAACGCAUUAAGCACUCCGCCUGGGGAGUACGACCGCAAGGUUGAAACUCAAAGGAAUUGACGGGGACCCGCACAAGCGGUGGAGCAUGUGGUUUAAUUCGAAGCAACGCGAAGAACCUUACCAAAUCUUGACAUCCUUUGACAACUCUAGAGAUAGAGCCUUCCCCUUCGGGGGACAAAGUGACAGGUGGUGCAUGGUUGUCGUCAGCUCGUGUCGUGAGAUGUUGGGUUAAGUCCCGCAACGAGCGCAACCCUUAAGCUUAGUUGCCAUCAUUAAGUUGGGCACUCUAAGUUGACUGCCGGUGACAAACCGGAGGAAGGUGGGGAUGACGUCAAAUCAUCAUGCCCCUUAUGAUUUGGGCUACACACGUGCUACAAUGGACAAUACAAAGGGCAGCGAAACCGCGAGGUCAAGCAAAUCCCAUAAAGUUGUUCUCAGUUCGGAUUGUAGUCUGCAACUCGACUACAUGAAGCUGGAAUCGCUAGUAAUCGUAGAUCAGCAUGCUACGGUGAAUACGUUCCCGGGUCU
rnacentral:rRNA from 1 species